rnacentral:rRNA from 1 species
AACGAACGCUGGCGGCAGGCCUAACACAUGCAAGUCGAAGGAGAAGCCAUCUUCGGAUGGUGGAAACUGGCGCACGGGUGAGUAACGCGUGGGUAUCUACCUCGGGGUGGGGAAUAACCGCUGGAAACGGCGGCUAAUACCGCAUACGCCUUAAGAGGGAAAGCUCCGGCGCCCUGAGAGGAGCCCGCGUUGGAUUAGCUUGUUGGUGGGGUAACGGCCCACCAAGGCGACGAUCUAUAGCUGGUCUGAGAGGAUGAUCAGCCACACUGGGACUGAGACACGGCCCAGACUCCUACGGGAGGCAGCAGUGGGGAAUAUUGGACAAUGGGCGCAAGCCUGAUCCAGCCAUGCCGCGUGAGUGAAGAAGGCCUUAGGGUUGUAAAGCUCUUUCACCUGCGAAGAUGAUGACGGUAGCAGGAGAAGAAGCCCCGGCUAACUCCGUG